rnacentral:lncRNA from 1 species
GCCCUGAUGCUACGAUGCUGUAGUUGAUCCUCGAAGAAUGAAAUCGGGCUUCGAAGAUCGCGCUGGAUUCCAAGGUUGGGUUGGUAGUCGCAGCAAUCCAGAUCCCGUGACUCCUCCAGGCACUUGCCCAAGUUUCCUUCAGGGGAUCUCAAUGUCAACAACAACUUAUGCUCCCUUCACACAUCAACAUCGACAGCACUGCCAAUCAGGCCUUACCAAUGUACAUCAUCGUUCUCAUCAACGAUGAUUCGAUAAUUGACUGCCAUGUUACACGGGGCGGGUUGAAUGCCAGCACGGGGCUAGGCUGAUGUGUCAAUUUCGUUUCUGCAAAGGAGCAGCAACUCGAUUAGGAUUCGCGUUCUUGUCACGCGCUAGCAACUGCCGAGCAGAUUAAUCAUUACAGAGAGAACCCUUAUUUUAGCGUCGAAUCUGACCCACCACCACACGAGGUCAAAGUGCAAAAUUCGAGACGAGGUGGAACCAUGGCAGAUACCGAAACAACACGGGCAAAUGAGCAUGUCAUAUCUAGCAAGUAGCGUCAAGCUAAGCACCACAGACAGCAAUAAGUGUACGACGGUGUGUACCUCGGGCGCCAAAUAGUUCGCCUUUCCAAAGUUUCCAUCGAUCAGCGAGGUCGAUGCUCAUUUUUGAUCUCCACCCUUCAGUCGCUUCAUGACACUAGUACUACAGUAUGCAAACAUGUCCACCUUUCUUCUCUUCGUUCUAUCAUUCAAUGAUUUGAUUUGACCGAAUUAUCCCCGCAAUUUUAGGGGCCCCUCAGAUGUACUGUACAGGUAUUCGGAGUUGCUGAGUGCAUAGAAUUACAGAUCAACCGGGCCAAUGAAAUCUAUUCAGGAUGUAUGGUCGGAUUAGAGGAUGUGUCAAUCGCAUUGCUCUAAACCCGGUAACAAGCCGUGACUAUUUGCCUUCAGAAGCCAAUUGGCCUUUUCUUCCAUAGGGCUACAUGGCCGACGGAGAGGUUUUCUGAUAAAGACAAACUUGGCAGUGAGAUCAUCGAAUGAUAUGAUGAGCGUGUUGUGACAAGAGGGUAGGCAGAUCUUUUUUGUCUGCAAAUUUGGCACAUCAAGACACUUCUACUCUCCUGGACUUCCUAUCUGAAAUGAUCUUAUGUAGAUAUGGUUCCGUUUAUGGUAAAACAUGUACGUUAUUCCCCAAUUAUAUUGCAGUUUAAACCACCAAAUUUGAUGCUGUCCUUGUGUGGCCUUUGAGAUCAUGCAAAACCGAAUCUUGAACUGGCUGUUGGUGCUAUGCUCUACGUCCAUCUUGCAGCUAAUGCUACUAUCAACCUGAAGAUGAGCACAAUCUCAAGAACUAGUAGCAUACAGGCUGCCAGCAUUCGACAUAAAAUCGAUCUCAUAGCUGCAGAUCUGCAUUGAUGCAGAAGCCGAG